UGAAUUGCAGAAUCCCGUGAACCAUNGAGUCUUUGNCCGCAAGUUGCGCCWGAAGCCAUUAGGCUAAGGGCAUGUCUGCUUGGGAGUCANGCAUCGCAUCACCCCUUCCACUAAAUUGGMGGAUGGGGUG
rnacentral:rRNA from 1 species